AUUGAACGCUGGCGGCAGGCCUAACACAUGCAAGUCGAGCGAGCGGCGGACGGGUGAGUAAUGUAUGGGGACUGCCCGAUAGAGGGGGAUACCUACUGGAAACGGUAGCUAAUACCGCAUACUAUCGGAUAACCCAUAUGGGAUUAGCUAGUAGGUGCGGUAAUGGCUCACCUAGGCGACGAUCCCUCGCUGGUCUGAGAGGAUGAUCAGCCACAAUGGGACUGAGACACGGCCGAGUUGCCUACGGAGGCAGCAGUGGGGAAUAUGGGACAAUGGGGGGAAGCCUGAUGCAGCAAUGCCGCGUGUAUGAAGAAGGCCCGAGGGUUGUAAAGUACUUUCAGUCGGGAGGCGGUACCGACAGAAGAAGCACCGGCUAACUCCGUGCCAGCCGCCGCGGUAAUAC
rnacentral:rRNA from 1 species